rnacentral:rRNA from 1 species
UUUUUAUGGAGAGUUUGAUCCUGGCUCAGGAUGAACGCUGGCGGCGUGCCUAAUACAUGCAAGUCGAGCGAACAGACGAGGAGCUUGCUCCUCUGACGUUAGCGGCGGACGGGUGAGUAACACGUGGAUAACCUACCUAUAAGACUGGGAUAACUUCGGGAAACCGGAGCUAAUACCGGAUAAUAUAUUGAACCGCAUGGUUCAAUAGUGAAAGACGGUUUUGCUGUCACUUAUAGAUGGAUCCGCGCCGCAUUAGCUAGUUGGUAAGGUAACGGCUUACCAAGGCAACGAUGCGUAGCCGACCUGAGAGGGUGAUCGGCCACACUGGAACUGAGACACGGUCCAGACUCCUACGGGAGGCAGCAGUAGGGAAUCUUCCGCAAUGGGCGAAAGCCUGACGGAGCAACGCC